GUGUGUAUUCCUGUCUCUCUCUCCCAGAAUAACUGUACGUUUGCCCAGCGACCUGCGAGGAAGCGGUGAUAUGUUCAAAAACAGAACUACACACAUGUUGUACUACACACCUGUUGUACUACAAACCUUUUAGGCCGUAGACAAAACUUCCCAAACAUCUCCUGCUCUGGGACAUAUCUUCCUUCACUCUCAGCUGGCUGUCCUGAAUAUCAAUACUACUCAACAUCUACCUUACUCUCCGGACUCGUCAAGCCAGUCUAUUUAUCCACUGGCCGGACUGUGUGAAGACCCUGGCUCUGUGAAGACCCUGGCUCUGUGAAGACAGUGGCUCUGUGAAGAUCCUGACUAAGCAGUUGAGCCCCAGGACCAGCUUGCUUAUGGGACUCUUCUCCAGUCCAGGAGAAGAUCAUUUGCGGCAUCCUGACCGUUUGCAUCGCCGCCUGCUAUGGCAAAUGCUUGGCAUCUGACCGUAAGGCGCUUCAGAG
rnacentral:lncRNA from 1 species